rnacentral:misc_RNA from 1 species
GAUGAAGACGUAGCGAAAUGCGAUAAGUAAUGUGAAUUGCAGAAUUCAGUGAAUCAUCGAAUCUUUGAACGCACAUUGCGCCCGCCAGUAUUCUGGCGGGCAUGCCUGUUCGAGCGUCAUUUCAACCCUCAGGGCCCUUUUGGACCUGGCGUUGGGGCUCGGCCGCUACCCUGCGGCCGUCCCCGAAAGAUAGUGGCGGUCUCGCUGUAGCCUCCUCUGCGUAGUAGUUACAUCUCGCACUGGAACGCGGCGCGGCCAUGCCGUUAAACACCCCACUUCUCAAGGUUGACCUCGGAUCAGGUAGGAAUACCCGCUGAACUUAAGCAUAUCAAUAAGCGGAGGA